CUCAUCCUUUUCAUUUUAAAAAAUUUUGGUUAACCUAUCCUAAAAUUGAGGAAGUUGUCCAUCAAGCUUGGAAUGGUUUUGAUAGUUAGCUUUCUACUGAUAAAAUCAUGUUAUGUUUAAAAAAAGUUCAUCAUACUUUAAACUCUUGAAAAUAUUCUAUUGGUAAUCUAAACUCUAGAGCCAGACAAUUAUAUAACCUAAUUUAUAAUCUACAAAUUAAAGAAUCUUAAUGGGGGAG
rnacentral:lncRNA from 1 species